GAUGAACGCUAGCGGGAGGCUUAAUACAUGCAAGUCGAGGGGUAACAGGGUCUUCGGACCGCUGACGACCGGCGCACGGGUGAGUAACGCGUACGCAAUCUACCUUCAAGAGGGGAAUAGCCCUGGGAAACUGGGAUUAAUGCCCCAUAGAAUUAUAAGGUCACCUGAUCUAAUAAUUAAAGAUCCGUCACUUGAAGAUGAGCGUGCGUCCCAUUAGCUAGUUGGUAAGGUAACGGCUUACCAAGGCGACGAUGGGUAGGGGGCGUGAGAGCGUGGCCCCCCACACGGGUACUGAGACACGGACCCGACUCCUACGGGAGGCAGCAGUAAGGAAUAUUGGACAAUGGGCGCAAGCCUGAUCCAGCCAUCCCGCGUGCAGGAUGACGGCCCUACGGGUUGUAAACUGCUUUUACAGGGGAAGAACCGAAUCCAUUUAUGGGUUUUUGACGGUACCCUGGGAAUAAGCACCGGCUAACUCCG
rnacentral:rRNA from 1 species